rnacentral:misc_RNA from 1 species
AAAAAGGGUCUUUUUGAUCCAUUUUUAAAAACCCACUAUCAAUUCUUACCCAUCGGGUCAGAUUGAAGUGGGUUUUUUUCAAACUCCAAAAUUUUAACUAUUCGUCUUGAUGACGAAACCCAAAAAUUAAUAAAAAUA